UGAACGUUCGGCGUAUGAGUG
rnacentral:siRNA from 1 species